rnacentral:tRNA from 1 species
GUUUUAAUAAUUUAAAAAAAAUAAUGAUUUUGUAAAUCAUARCUAAGAUUCAUAGAUCUUUUAAAACA